ensembl:lncRNA
UUGUUUGAUAACGUGUACAUGUACAGAGACCAGGUGAAUACAGUCGGAUGUCGUUGGAUAACGUGUACAUGUACAGAGACCAGGUUAAUACAGUCGGAUGUCGUUGGAUAACGUGUACAUUCGGAUGUCGUUGGAUAACGUGUACAUGUACAGAGACCAGGUGAAUACAGUCGGAUGUCGUUGGAUAACGUGUACAUGUACAGAGACCAGGUGAAUACAGUCGGAUGUCGUUGGAUAACGUGUACAGUCGGAUGUCGUUGGAUAGUGAUUUUUUUGUUAAGUCUGUCUACACCGACUACGGCUCCCAGUGGCGCUGGAGCGGUGGAGGGGUUGCCGGGGCGAACUAAGAGUCUCGGGGUUCAGAGGAGAGAAUGGUCCCGUCUGCGCUUUAUUACGCUGGUCAAAUCAAACGUGACACCUGGACUCUGAGCUGUUCAGGGAGGGCUCACCGAGAAUACACAGCGCACAACAUGUCAGAGCUGCACACAAACAAACAAAGUGCAGGCGUAGGGGAGUCCACGGAGGACACAGAACUGGUUCAGACUUUUUUGGAUCAUUUACCCACUGCCUUUUGAAAGCAGUGUUUUAGACCUCUAUUUCCCAAAAGAAGUACUAUUAUCUAUCACCACUCUUGUUUCGUGGGCUAGAAGAUAACACAUUUUUUUACUCUUGCUCUCCUUCCACCCAACAGCUCAAGAGGCUUUUUUCUAAUCUUAAUUCAUAUAUUUAUUUUACCUUAUUGACAUUACAUUGGGAAAUGGAUAUCAAUACGCCCUAAUUGGGCUGAGAUAAUGACAUUUAAAGUAUUGUUAAUAAUGACCAGAGCACUGUAAAUCAAAUACAUACUGUAUAUGCAUUAAAAGUAACUUCUGUCAUAUCGUAAAGCAAAUGUCAUGUCUUAUGUUUACUUUACAAAGAGUUCAAUUCAACAUUCAACAUUCAAUUCAAUUCAAUUCAAUUCAAUUCAUUUUAUUUUAUUUUGUACAGCCCCAAAUCGCAAAUUACAAAUUUGCCUCAGAGGGCUUUACAGUCUGUACACAUAAGACAUCCUCUGUCCCGAAACCCUCCAUCGGCACAGGAAAAACUCCCCAAAUGAAAAAACCCUUCCAAGAGGGAAAAAAGGGAAGAAACCUUAGUGAGAACGUCAGAGGAGGAUCCGUCUCCUGAUGGACAGACUACAAUGAUGUCAUGUGUACAGAAUAAACAAUGUAUAAUACAUGAGACUAUAUGACAGAAAUGAUUCAAGUAACUGUGAGUAGUAAACCAGACGCACAGCAGGACCACUGCAGGGACCACCACCAUCACAUAGAACCACCAUCAGAUAGAACCACCAUCACAUAGAACCACCAUCACAUAGAACCACCAUCACAUAGAACCACCAUCACAUAGAACCACCAUCAGAUAGAAC